GUGGGGAAUUUUGGACAAUGGGCGAAAGCCUGAUCCAGCCAUGCCGCGUGCAGGAUGAAGGCCUUCGGGUUGUAAACUGCUUUUGUACGGAACGAAAAGACUCCUUCUAAUAAAGGGGGUCCAUGACGGUACCGUAAGAAUAAGCACCGGCUAACUACGUGCCAGCAGCCGCGGUAAUACGUAGGGUGCAAGCGUUAAUCGGAAUUACUGGGCGUAAAGCGUGCGCAGGCGGUUAUAUAAGACAGAUGUGAAAUCCCCGGGCUCAAACUGGAAACUGCAUUUGUGACUGUAUAGCUAGAGUACGGUAGAGGGGGAUGGAAUUCCGCGUGUAGCAGUGAAAUGCGUAGAUAUGCGGAGGAACACCGAUGGCGAAGGCAAUCCCCUGGACCUGUACUGACGCUCAUGCACGAAAGCGUGGGGAGCAAACAGGAUUAGAAACCCGGGUAGUCC
rnacentral:rRNA from 1 species